GGUUGUUUGGGUUCAUUUUACUCGGGAUUUUAUUAUCUAGGUCGCGGUGCACCUAAUUUUCAAAAAUUAACAAUUUUAUUUUUUUGUUAAUC